CCUACGGGAGGCAGCAGUGAGGAAUAUUGGACAAUGGGUGAGAGCCUGAUCCAGCCAUCCCGCGUGAAGGAUGACGGUCCUAUGGAUUGUAAACUUCUUUUAUAUGGGGAUAAACCUACUUACGUGUAAGUAGCUGAAGGUACCAUAUGAAUAAGCACCGGCUAACUACGUGCCAGCAGCCGCGGUAAU
rnacentral:rRNA from 1 species